rnacentral:rRNA from 1 species
UACGAAGGGGGCUAGCGUUGCUCGGAAUCACUGGGCGUAAAGCGCACGUAGGCGGAUUGUUAAGUCAGGGGUGAAAUCCUGGAGCUCAACUCCAGAACUGCCUUUGAUACUGGCGAUCUUGAGUCCGGGAGAGGUGAGUGGAACUGCGAGUGUAGAGGUGAAAUUCGUAGAUAUUCGCAAGAACACCCGUGGCGAAGGCGGCUCUCUGGGACGGUACUGACGCUGAGACGCGAAAGCGUGGGGAGCGAACAGG